ACAACGGAGAGUUUGAUCCUGGCUCAGGAUGAACGCUAGCGGCAGGCUUAAUACAUGCAAGUCAAGGGGGUAGCAAUACAACCGGCGCAC
rnacentral:rRNA from 1 species